AGCGAACGCUGGCGGCAGGCCUAACACAUGCAAGUCGAACGAACCCUUCGGGGUUAGUGGCGGACGGGUGAGUAACACGUGGGAACGUGCCUUUAGGUUCGGAUUAACUCAGGGAAACUUGUGCUAAUACCGAAUGUGCCCUUCGGGGGAAAGAUUUAUCGCCUUUAGAGCGGCCCGCGUCUGAUUAGCUAGUUGGUGAGGUAAUGGCUCACCAAGGCUACGAUCAGUAGCUGGUCUGAGAGGAUGACCAGCCACAUUGGGACUGAGACACGGCCCAAACUCCUACGGGAGGCAGCAGUGGGGAAUCUUGCGAAAUGGGCGAAAGCCUGACGCAGCCAUGCCGCGUGGAUGAUGAAGGUCUUAGGAUUGUAAAAUCCUUUCACCGGUGAAGAUAAUGACUGUAGCCGGAGAAGAAGCCCCGGCUAACUUCGUGCCAGCAGCCGCUGUAAAAC
rnacentral:rRNA from 1 species